rnacentral:rRNA from 1 species
GAUGAACGCUGGCGGCGUGCCUAAUACAUGCAAGUCGAGCGAACAGACGAGGAGCUUGCUCCUCUGACGUUAGCGGCGGACGGGUGAGUAACACGUGGAUAACCUACCUAUAAGACUGGGAUAACUUCGGGAAACCGGAGCUAAUACCGGAUAAUAUAUUGAACCGCAUGGUUCAAUAGUGAAAGACGGUUUUGCUGUCACUUAUAGAUGGAUCCGCGCGGCAUGAGCUAGUUGGUAAGGUAACGGCUUACCAAGGCGACGAUGCGUAGCCGACCUGAGAGGGUGAUCGCCCACACUGGAACUGAGACACGGUCCAGACUCCUACGGGAGGCAGCAGUAGGGAAUCUUCCGCAAUGGGCGAAAGCCUGACGGAGCAACGCCGCGUGAGUGAUGAAGGUCUUCGGAUCGUAAAACUCUGUUAUUAGGGAAGAACAAAUGUGUAAGUAACUAUGCACGUCUUGACGGUACCUAAUCAGAAAGCCACGGCUAACUACGUG